UGGGGAAUAUUGGACAAUGGGCGCAAGCCUGAUCCAGCCAUGCCGCGUGAGUGAUGAAGGCCUUCGGGUUGUAAAGCUCUUUUGGCGGGGACGAUGAUGACGGUACCCGCAGAAUAAGCCCCGGCUAACUUCGUGCCAGCAGCCGCGGUAAGACGAAGGGGGCAAGCGUUGUUCGGAAUUACUGGGCGUAAAGGGCGCGUAGGCGGCCAUUUUAGUCAGGCGUGAAAGCCCUGGGCUCAACCUGGGAGGUGCGCUUGAUACUGGAUGGCUGGAGUGUGGGAGAGGAUAGUGGAAUUCCCAGUGUAGAGGUGAAAUUCGUAGAUAUUGGGAAGAACACCAGUGGCGAAGGCGGCUAUCUGGACCACAACUGACGCUGAGGCGCGAAAGCGUGGGGAGCAAACAGGAUUAUACCCU
rnacentral:rRNA from 1 species